rnacentral:rRNA from 1 species
AUUGAACGCUGGCGGCAUGCCUUACACAUGCAAGUCGAACGGCAGCGCGGGGCAACCUGGCGGCGAGUGGCGAACGGGUGAGUAAUAUAUCGGAACAUACCCUAGAGUGGGGGAUAACGUAGCGAAAGUUACGCUAAUACCGCAUACGCACUAAGGUGGAAAGUGGGGGAUCUUCGGACCUCAUGCUCAUGGAGUGGCCGAUAUCUGAUUAGCUAGUUGGUGAGGUAAAGGCUCACCAAGGCGACGAUCAGUAGCUGGUUUGAGAGAACGACCAGCCACACUGGAACUGAGACACGGUCCAGACUCCUACGGGAGGCAGCAGUGGGGAAUUUUGGACAAUGGGGGGCAACCCUGAUCCAGCAAUGCCGCGUGAGUGAAGAAGGCUUUCGGGUUGUAAAGCUCUUUUGUCAGGGAAGAAACGGUGAGUUCUAAUAAAGCUUGCUAAUGACGGUACCUGAAGAAUAAGCACCGGCUAACUACGUGCCAGCAGCCGCGGUAAU